rnacentral:rRNA from 1 species
GACGAACGCUGGCGGCGGGCUUAACACAUGCAAGUCGAACGGAAAGGCCCUGCUUUUGUGGGGUGCUCGAGUGGCGAACGGUUGUGUAACAUGUGAGUAACCUGCCCAUGACUUUGGGAUAACUUCAGGAAACUGGUGCUAAUACCGGAUAGGAGCUCCUGCUGCUUGGUGGGGUUCGGAAAGUUUCGGCGGUUGGGGAAGGACUCGCGGCUUAUCAGCUUGUUGGUUGGGUAGUUGCUUACCAAGGCUUUGACGGGUAGCUGGCCUGAGAGGGUAGCCGGCCGCAAUGGGACUGAGAUACGACGCAGAGUGCUACGGGGGGCAGCAGUGGGAAAUAUUGCACAAUGGCUGGAAGCCUGAUGCAGCGACGCAGGGUGCGGGAUGACGGCCUUCGGGUUGUAAACCGCUUUCGGCUGUGACGAAGCGUGAGUGACGGUAAUGGGUAAAGAAGCACCGGCUAACUACGUG